ACGAGGCACUACGGUGCUGAAGCAACAAAUGCCCUGCUUCCAGGAAAAGCCUCUAAGCAUCAGGUAACAUCAAAUCGUACCCCAAACCGACACAGGUGGUCAGGUAGAGAAUACCAAGGCGCUUGAGAGAACUCGGGUGAAGGAACUAGGCAAAAUGGUGCCGUAACUUCGGGAGAAGGCACGCUGAUAUGUAGGUGAAGUCCCUCGCGGAUGGAGCUGAAAUCAGUCGAAGAUACCAGCUGGCUGCAACUGUUUAUUAAAAACACAGCACUGUGCAAACACGAAAGUGGACGUAUACGGUGUGACGCCUGCCCGGUGCCGGAAGGUUAAUUGAUGGGGUCAGCGCAAGCGAAGCUCUUGAUCGAAGCCCCGGUAAACGGCGGCCGUAACUAUAACGGUCCUAAGGUAGCGAAAUUCCUUGUCGGGUAAGUUCCGACCUGCACGAAUGGCGUAAUGAUGGCCAGGCUGUCUCCACCCGAGACUCAGUGAAAUUGAACUCGCUGUGAAGAUGCAGUGUACCCGCGGCAAGACGGAAAGACCCCGUGAACCUUUACUAUAGCUUGACACUGAACAUUGAGCCUUGAUGUGUAGGAUAGGUGGGAGGCUUUGAAGUGUGGACGCCAGUCUGCAUGGAGCCGACCUUGAAAUACCACCCUUUAAUGUUUGAUGUUCUAACGUGGACCCGUAAUCCGGGUUGCGGACAGUGUCUGGUGGGUAGUUUGACUGGGGCGGUCUCCUCCUAAAGAGUAACGGAGGAGCACGAAGGUUGGCUAAUCCUGGUCGGACAUCAGGAGGUUAGUGCAAUGGCAUAAGCCAGCUUGACUGCGAGCGUGACGGCGCGAGCAGGUGCGAAAGCAGGUCAUAGUGAUCCGGUGGUUCUGAAUGGAAGGGCCAUCGCUCAACGGAUAAAAGGUACUCCGGGGAUAACAGGCUGAUACCGCCCAAGAGUUCAUAUCGACGGCGGUGUUUGGCACCUCGAUGUCGGCUCAUCACAUCCUGGGGCUGAAGUAGGUCCCAAGGGUAUGGCUGUUCGCCAUUUAAAGUGGUACGCGAGCUGGGUUUAGAACGUCGUGAGACAGUUCGGUCCCUAUCUGCCGUGGGCGCUGGAGAACUGAGGGGGGCUGCUCCUAGUACGAGAGGACCGGAGUGGACGCAUCACUGGUGUUCGGGUUGUCAUGCCAAUGGCACUGCCCGGUAGCUAAAUGCGGAAGAGAUAAGUGCUGAAAGCAUCUAAGCACGAAACUUGCCCCGAGAUGAGUUCUCCCUGACUCCUUGAGAGUCCUGAAGGAACGUUGAAGACGACGACGUUGAUAGGCCGGGUGUGUAAGCGCAGCGAUGCGUUGAGCUAACCGGUACUAAUGAACCGUGAGG
rnacentral:rRNA from 1 species